UACGGAGGGUGCAAGCGUUAUCCGGCUUCACUGGGUUUAAAGGGUGCGUAGGCGGGUUGGUAAGUCCGUGGUGAAAUCCCCAAGCUUAACUUGGGAACUGCCGUGGAUACUAUCAAUCUUGAAUAUCGUGGAGGUAAGCGGAAUAUGUCAUGUAGCGGUGAAAUGCUUAGAUAUGACAUAGAACACCAAUUGCGUAGGCAGCUUACUACACAAUCAUUGACGCUGAGGCACGAAAGCGUGGGGAGCAAACAGG
rnacentral:rRNA from 1 species